rnacentral:misc_RNA from 1 species
UUAAGUUCAGCGGGUAUUCCUACCUGAUCCGAGGUCAACCUUGAAAAAUUGGGGGGUUUUACGGCGUGGCCGUGCCGCUCUCCGGUGCGAUGUGCAUUACUACGCGGGGGAGGCUGCGGCGCGACCGCCACUGUAUUUAGGGGGCAGGGGCCCGGAGGACCCUGAUCCCCAACACCGGGUCCCCGCCUAGACGGGGUCCC